UAGUGGCGAGCGAACGGGGACUAGCCCUUAAGCUAGACAACUGGUAGGAGAAGGCUCUGGAAAGUGCCGCCAUAGUGGGUGAUAGCCCCGUAUCCGAAACCUGAGUCUGGUGAAAUCGAGUAGGACGGGACACGUGAUAUCCUGUCUGAACAUGGGGGGACCAUCCUCCAAGGCUAAAUACUCGUAAUCGACCGAUAGUGAACCAGUACCGUGAGGGAAAGGCGAAAAGAACCCCGGGAGGGGAGUGAAAUAGAUCCUGAAACCGUGUGCAUACAAACAGUAGGAGCGGACUUGUUCCGUGACUGCGUACCUUUUGUAUAAUGGGUCAGCGACUUACAUUCAGUGGCAAGGUUAACCAUAUAGGGAAGCCGUAGAGAAAUCGAGUCCGAACAGGGCGACAGUCGCUGGGUGUAGACCCGAAACCAAGUGAUCUACUCAUGGCCAGGAUGAAGGUGCGGUAACACGCCCUGGAGGUCCGAACCCACUAAUGUUGAAAAAUUAGGGGAUGAGCUGUGGGUAGGGGUGAAAGGCUAAACAAACUUGGAAAUAGCUGGUUCUCUCCGAAAACUAUUUAGGUAGUGCCUCAAGUAUCACCAUCGGGGGUAGAGCACUGUUAUGGCUAGGGGGUCAUGGCGACUUACCAAACCAUUGCAAACUCCGAAUACCGAUGAGUGCGAGCUUGGGAGACAGACGUCGGGUGCUAACGUCCGGCGUCAAGAGGGAAACAACCCAGACCGCCAGCUAAGGUCCCAAAGAUUGGCUAAGUGGAAAACGAAGUGGGAAGGCUAAAACAGUCAGGAUGUUGGCUUAGAAGCAGCCAUCAUUUAAAGAAAGCGUAAUAGCUCACUGAUCGAGUCGUCCUGCGCGGAAGAUGUAACGGGGCUAAGCCAGUCACCGAAGCUGCGGAUAUGC
rnacentral:rRNA from 1 species